UCAAUAAAGUGGUUAGAACAAACACAACACACGAUUAAAUUUGAAACAUUUAGGGGGAGAUGGAGAACAUCUACUCACUUUGGCCCGACGGCAAGUCGCCAAAUUCGCACCUCCUUGUGCAAAUUCUCUCCAAAGAAAUAUAUUAGAGGAGGAACUUCGACCAUGGUCCAUCAAGUUCAAAAAGCAGUCAACAAUCAAGCCAUGAUAGGAAAGAAAGUGGGCAAUCAUCAAGGGUGAAUAGAGGAAAGGUAGAGUUCUAUAAUGGGAAUGAGGUUGGUUUCCAUCACGGGCGAAUAGAUAGAGGAAAGGCACCAAAUGCUUGCAACUACUUUUUGUGGUAUGAUCCACCUAUGCCACUGAUGACAAAGAAUAUGGUGGCCAAAAUUUUGAAGAAUCUGAGGACGGCCGAGGUGGAGAACACAUUGAUGAAGAUUGAAAUUGGAAAGCUUCAAAAAGAGAACAAGAUGAUGAAGAUCGAAAUUGAGAAGUUGAAAGCAACAACGAAAUUGUUAGCGGUUAUAGUGAUUUGCUCUUGUUUUUUUUUGGUUUGCUGUAGUUCUUGGCAGUGGCCAGGAAAGACAAAGUGUCAUGGAUUUGAAGCCAAAAAUGUUGCAAUAGAGCUGGUAUAAAGAUGGACCCAAGGCAUGGUUGUGUUUGUAUUUUCGAUUUUGUUGUAAGAAAAUUUAAAUCCAUGAAUGUAAUAUCUGUGUAUGUAAUAUAUGCAAUGGGAAGUUGAAUUUCAAAAA